CUUUCUACAUUGUCAA
rnacentral:sRNA from 1 species